GCGGGCGUAGCUCAGCAGGUAGAGUGUCAGCUUCCCAAGCUGAAUGUCGCGAGUUCGAAUCUCGUCGCCCGCU
rnacentral:tRNA from 1 species